GGCCCGCUGGCCAAAUGGUAAGGCGCCAGAUUUCGGCAGUGAAGCCUCUCUGGAGAUUGUGCGUUCGAGCCGCACGUGGGUCG